CACUAUCAGUUGAAGCUGCCAGCAUGAUCUUAACCUCCCUCCUUUGUCGAGGAAAGAACAGAUCAUGUGGCAGUUUCACCUGAAGU
rnacentral:pre_miRNA from 1 species